CCUACGGGAGGCUGCAGUGAGGAAUAUUGGUCAAUGGGCGAGAGCCUGAACCAGCCAAGUCGCGUGAGGGAGGACUGCCCAAUGGGUUGUAAACCUCUUUUGUCGGGGAGCAAAAGCCGGACGGGUCCGGCUGUGAGAGUACCCGAAGAAAAAGCAACGGCCAACUCCGGGACAGCAGCCGCGGUAAUACGGCGGAUGCGAGCGUUAGCCGGAUUUAUUGGGGUUUAAGGGGGCGCAGGCGGAUUUUUAAGUCAGCGGGCAAAUCGUGGGGCUCAACCCCAGCCAGCCGUUGAAACUGGGGGUCUAGAUUGUGCGAGAGUUAUGCGGCAUGCGUGGUGUAGCGGUG
rnacentral:rRNA from 1 species